rnacentral:rRNA from 1 species
CAACCCAGACCGCCAGCUAAGGUCCCAAAGUCAUGGUUAAGUGGGAAACGAUGUGGGAAGGCCCAGACAGCCAGGAUGUUGGCUUAGAAGCAGCCAUCAUUUAAAGAAAGCGUAAUAGCUCACUGGUCGAGUCGGCCUGCGCGGAAGAUGUAACGGGGCUAAACCAUGCACCGAAGCUGCGGCAGCGACACUCAGGUGUUGUUGGGUAGGGGAGCGUUCUGUAAGCCUGCGAAGGUGGCCUGUGAGGGUUGCUGGAGGUAUCAGAAGUGCGAAUGCUGACAUAAGUAACGAUAAAGCGGGUGAAAAGCCCGCUCGCCGGAAGACCAAGGGUUCCUGUCCAACGUUAAUCGGGGCAGGGUGAGUCGACCCCUAAGGCGAGGCCGAAAGGCGUAGUCGAUGGGAAACGGGUUAAUAUUCCCGUACUUGGUGUUACUGCGAAGGGGGGACGGAGAAGGCUAUGUUGGCCGGGCGACGGUUGUCCCGGUUUAAGCGUGUAGGUGUGUGUUCCAGGUAAAUCCGGUUCACUUUAACACUGAGGCGUGAUGACGAGGCACUACGGUGCUGAAGCAACAAAUGCCCUGCUUCCAGGAAAAGCCUCUAAGCAUCAGGUAACAUCAAAUCGUACCCCAAACCGACACAGGUGGUCAGGUAGAGAAUACCAAGGCGCUUGAGAGAACUCGGGUGAAGGAACUAGGCAAAAUGGUGCCGUAACUUCGGGAGAAGGCACGCUGACACGUAGGUGAAGUGAUUUACUCAUGGAGCUGAAGUCAGUCGAAGAUACCAGCUGGCUGCAACUGUUUAUUAAAAACACAGCACUGUGCAAACACGAAAGUGGACGUAUACGGUGUGACGCCUGCCCGGUGCCGGAAGGUUAAUUGAUGGGGUCAGCGCAAGCGAAGCUCCUGAUCGAAGCCCCGGUAAACGGCGGCCGUAACUAUAACGGUCCUAAGGUAGCGAAAUUCCUUGUCGGGUAAGUUCCGACCUGCACGAAUGGCGUAAUGAUGGCCAGGCUGUCUCCACCCGAGACUCAGUGAAAUUGAACUCGCUGUGAAGAUGCAGUGUACCCGCGGCAAGACGGAAAGACCCCGUGAACCUUUACUAUAGCUUGACACUGAACAUUGAGCCUUGAUGUGUAGGAUAGGUGGGAGGCUUUGAAGUGUGGACGCCAGUCUGCAUGGAGCCGGCCUUGAAAUACCACCCUUUAAUGUUUGAUGUUCUAACGUGGACCCGUGAUCCGGGUUGCGGACAGUGUCUGGUGGGUAGUUUGACUGGGGCGGUCUCCUCCUAAAGAGUAACGGAGGAGCACGAAGGUUGGCUAAUCCUGGUCGGACAUCAGGAGGUUAGUGCAAUGGCAUAAGCCAGCUUGACUGCGAGCGUGACGGCGCGAGCAGGUGCGAAAGCAGGUCAUAGUGAUCCGGUGGUUCUGAAUGGAAGGGCCAUCGCUCAACGGAUAAAAGGUACUCCGGGGAUAACAGGCUGAUACCGCCCAAGAGUUCAUAUCGACGGCGGUGUUUGGCACCUCGAUGUCGGCUCAUCACAUCCUGGGGCUGAAGUAGGUCCCAAGGGUAUGGCUGUUCGCCAUUUAAAGUGGUACGCGAGCUGGGUUUAGAACGUCGUGAGACAGUUCGGUCCCUAUCUGCCGUGGGCGCUGGAGAACUGAGGGGGGCUGCUCCUAGUACGAGAGGACCGGAGUGGACGCAUCACUGGUGUUCGGGUUGUCAUGCCAAUGGCACUGCCCGGUAGCUAAAUGCGGAAGAGAUAAGUGCUGAAAGCAUCUAAGCACGAAACUUGCCCCGAGAUGAGUUCUCCCUGAGACUUUAGGUCUCCUGAAGGAACGUUGAAGACGACGACGUUGAUAGGCCGGGUGUGUAAGCGCAGCGAUGCGUUGAGCUAACCGGUACUAAUGAACCGUGAGGCUUAACCUUACA